UCCCUGGUGGUCCAGUGGGUAAGACUGUACUUCCAAUGUAGGGAGCCCAGGUUAGAUCCCUGGUCAGGGAA
rnacentral:tRNA from 1 species